rnacentral:rRNA from 1 species
AUUGAACGCUGGCGGCAGGCUUAACACAUGCAAGUCGAGCGGAGAUGAGGUGCUUGCACCUUAUCUUAGCGGCGGACGGGGGAGUAAUGCUUAGGAAUCUGCCUAUUUGUGGGGGACAACAUUCCGAAAGGAAUGCUAAUACCGCAUACGCCCUACGGGGCAAAGCAGGGGAUCUUCGGACCUUGCGCUAAUAGAUGAGCCUAAGGCGGAUUAGCUAGUUGGUGGGGUAAAGGCCUACCAAGGCGACGAUCUGUAGCGGGUCUGAGAGGAUGAUCCGCCACGCUAGUACUGAGACACGGCCCAGACUCCUACGGGAGGCAGCAGUGGGGAAUAUUGGACAAUGGGCGGAAGCCUGAUCCAGCCAUGCCGCGUGUGUGAAGAAGGCCUUUUGGUUGUAAAGCACUUUAAGCGAGGAGGAGGCUACCUGGAUUAAUACUCUAGGAUAGUGGACGUUACUCGCAGAAUAAGCACCGGCUAACUCUGUGCCAGCCGCCGCGGUAAAAC